UACGUAGGGGGCGAGCGUUGUCCGGAAUUAUUGGGCGUAAAGAGCUCGUAGGCGGUUUGUCGCGUCUGCUGUGAAAACUCAAGGCUCAACCUUGGGCUUGCAGUGGGUACGGGCAGACUAGAGUGCGGUAGGGGUGACUGGAAUUCCUGGUGUAGCGGUGGAAUGCGCAGAUAUCAGGAGGAACACCGAUGGCGAAGGCAGGUCACUGGGCCGCAACUGACGCUGAGACGCGAAAGCGUGGGGAGCGAACAGG
rnacentral:rRNA from 1 species